GACAGAGGUGCCAAGCGUUAGGCGGAAUCACUGGGCUUAAAGCGUGUGUAGGCGGGCGGGCAAGUACCUUGUGAAAUCCCACGGCUCAACCGUGGAACGGCUGGGUAUACUGCCUGUCUUGAGCCAGCUAGGGGCGACCGGAACAGACGGUGGAGCGGUGAAUGCGUAGAUAUCGUCUGGAACGCCAAAGGUGAAAACAGGUCGCUGGGGCUGAGCUGACGCUGAGACACGAAAAGCCAGGGGAGGCGAAACGGGG
rnacentral:rRNA from 1 species